CCAAGAUAUGCUGUUUUAUUCUAUUUUUUUUCUGUGAAAUAUCUGAGACAAAUGUAAUGUUAAUACUUAUACUAAGAUACAGUAUGAAAGAACAACCUCGAAGCAUUACAACUGUCCUCUAGGAUUGUUUACUAGAAGUGCCUCACUGAGCAUGUGGGAUGACAAUGAUCACUAUUUUUUUUCCCCACAGAGAAGUUAACUUACAAUAAAACUGUGGAUGAUGCUGUGAGCAUUAAGCCCAAGAAUCUGACUGAGACUGAAGAGUGGAUCAUUUCACCCAGUCAGCCAAAAACAGAGUUUGUUUGCCUGCAGGAUUCUAAAGCGUCAAGAACCAGCAGCUUUCUAGAGCUGAAAUCCUUAAGGGUGAGUGAUGCCUUUAUGACCACAUAUUGUAAAAUAAAUAAAUAAAUUGAUGAGAAAAAUGUAUGGUUGCAUAAUAGACAACCACGUCUCUCUGUCUGUCUGUGUUCCUUCAUACUUACUGUAAAUAACUAAACACAUGGAUACACCAAAAGUCAUUUUGCCUCUGUUAACAAAGUCUUUGACUGUUACUCUUGUGUUAAGCGGGCGCUGUCUCCCUCACGAGUGGAGGAAUGCCAGGAAGACUUCUUCCAUAAUCCUGAAGAUGCCAUAGACCAGCCAGAAAUCCUCACUUCCUGCGCCAUCACAAAUACCAUGCACAACCUCCUGGCUCAUCUCCAACAUGCUGACGUCUUAGUAGAUGAUCGAGAACCCUACCAGGCCUGUUCCUUAAGUGCCCUUAAAAGCUCCAUCGUGGAUAUGGGCCUCAUCCAUCUCUCCCAACGAUCCCGGCAGCUCCAGAAUCCUGCUGGUUCCCAGUCCAGCCCCGUCCACACCCAGCAGCUCAGUCUUUCUCAGCAGUCCAGACACCGGUCCUCCAGCGAGUCCAGGAUCACUAGCACAAAAGAAGCAGUGUGUUUCCGGACCACCUCAGACCGGGUGGGUCACUGUAAGCUGGGCAGCUGGUGGAAACAGGCGCUGGAAACUCGACGGGCUUCAACCGGACUGCUUCCUGCUUUAGAGCAGGUUUCUCCUACACGAGAAAAACGGACAUUUCCUGUUGCACGAUGUCCCCAACCUCAUUGGCUUGGAAGCUUCUUAGAUCUUCCAUCCAAUCCAAGAGUGGAAAAACGAGAGGGCAAACAGGAAGAGAAAGAUGAAGUAACAGGCUGGAGAGGAUCUCUUAAAGUGACCAUUAAUCAGAUUGAUCAUAGACCAACUUCACAUCAAGGCCAUCGACGAAAAAUGAGGAAACAAAUCAAACGAGCUUAAAAAAUAAAUAAAUAAAAAAUAGCA
ensembl:lncRNA